rfam:Thiomonas intermedia K12, complete genome.
AACCAUUAAGGCGAUGGAGUUCGCCAAAACCGCGUGGGGCUGCCCCCAAGCUAAUGACUCCUACCUGCCG